AGAGUUUGAUCCUGGCUCAGAAUGAACGCUGGCGGCGUGCUUAACACAUGCAAGUCGAACGAUGAAGCCCAGCUUGCUGGGUGGAUUAGUGGCGCACGGGUGAGUAAUAUAUAGAUAAUGUGCCUCUUAGUCUGGGAUAGCCAUUGGAAACGAUGAUUAAUACUGGAUACUCCUUCUUAUCAAAAGAUAAGUCGGGAAAGUUUUUCGCUAAGAGAUCGGUCUAUAUCCCAUCAGCUUGUUGGUAGUGUAAGAGACUACCAAGGCAAUGACGGGUAGCGGGUUUGAGAGGAUGAUCCGCCACACUGGUACUGAGACACGGACCAGACUCCUACGGGAGGCAGCAGUGAGGAAUAUUGCACAAUGGGGGAAACCCUGAUGCAGCAACGCCGCGUGGAGGAUGACGCAUUUCGGUGUGUAAACUCCUUUUAUAUGUCAAGAAAAUGACGGUACCAUAUGAAUAAGCACCGGCUAACUCCGUGCCAGCAGCCGCGGUAAUACGGAGGGUGCAAGCGUUACUCGGAAUCACUGGGCGUAAAGCGCGCGCAGGCAGUCUUUUAAGUUGGAUGUGAAAGCCUACGGCUCAACCGUAGAACUGCAUCCAAAACUAUUAGACUAGAGUGUGGGAGAGGAAGAUGGAAUUAGUUGUGUAGGGGUAAAAUCCGUAGAGAUAACUAGGAAUACCAAAAGCGAAGGCAAUCUUCU
rnacentral:rRNA from 1 species